CUACCAAAAACAUGGCGGAUUUCGUUGGAUUUCGGCCUUUGCUGACGCCAGAAUGACGCCACUGGUCCCAAAUCCUCGUGGUAAUUACCACUGAGCAAGGCUCAUUUUGAGCCCGCCACCACUUUCACAUCCCCCUGAUUUUCGCAAAAAUAUUUUAGCUUUUGUUUUGGAGUUUGACUCGGUUUUUGCCUUCUCUUCGGCAUUUUAACAUUUGUUUCGAGUUGCACAAGUGGCAAGAAUCAUCCUGGCUAGUGAAGACAGGGAACAACGAAUAUUUAAACCUCAAGAAAUUUCGUAAAGACGUUAUUUGUAAAGGUAAAAAUAUACUGUUUAUAUGUUCAAUAGUAUAAAUUUGUGAUCGAGCACUGCCAGUUCUAGUUCUAAACAAAGCGAAAUAAACAGCUUAUUGUGUAGUGAACAAUUUUAGCAACUGAUGUAUACAAUUAGGUUAGUCUUCCUCGAAAGAAAAUGGUUGAAAUUUCAGAUUUUAGUUUCAUUUGUUUAUAUUUCAAAUUUUACUAUAUAAAAUGCCAGUUGCAUGACCACCGUCUGCUUCAUGAUACUACUUUAAUAGGAAAAUUAAAGUGCUUUCUAUUAAUAUAUCAUGGCUUUGAAUGAUUUAAUCUACGUAGUACAUAUUUAACUGGCCACUGAUGACUAUGAAAGUCUAUAUCGAGGUCUAUAUCAGGAUUAAAGAUUUGGCAGUCAAUUGUACCAACUUCUGUUGAAGCUAGGUUUAUAUAUAAGAUCAGGUUUAGAGGCCUGUAACAUUUUCUCUAGAAAUUGAAUGAUAGUAAAAUCAAUUUCAUAUUAAUUAACCCAUUGAGCCGCAAUGCGCCCUACCUAUUUUUUAUUUGUCGAAUGCCAUAUGAUUUUGCUCGGUUUGCUCGAUUUUUAGUUGUCGAAUGCCAUAUGAUUUUGCUAGGUUCAGCAGCUGCAGCUUAAUGGUUAAGAACAUGAAACAUUUUUGAUAAUAUUUGAUGUUGCUAAUAAUGCAUUUUUGUAGGAAAAUAUCUUACACAGUGGUUGUUUGCCAGUGACACCAAACCCCAAUAUUUACAUCCUAGCCCACCUGAGGUAGCCUACCUUGUGCGAAACAUAUGACAAUUUGUGUCACUGUGGGUGAAAAGAUUGCAUAAUCCUUUUUUAUUUUAGGAUCUAUCACACAAGGAGAAAGUCUUAAUUCCACGAUUUCUACUGGCAAAGAUACAGUUGUAAUUUUCUUUGGAUUUUGAAGAUAGACAAUGGAACAACUUGGCAAAGUUUUGUUUAUAAUUAAUAACAUGUUUUAAUUUACUUUAUUCACAUGCAUUCUAAUAUGUAUAUUUCUAUAAAAUUAUUUAAUAAUUAUGCAUUAUAUAAUUCAUAUCCAAAUAUGAUCACCAAGGGGCCAGUUGUACAUU